GGAUGUAUGGCUGAGAGGUUUAAGGCAUGAUACUUGAAAUAUCAAGGCGAAUAGCCCACGUGUUCGAAUCGCGUUACAUCCG
rnacentral:tRNA from 1 species